rnacentral:rRNA from 1 species
CCUGCGGGUGGCUGCAGUGGGGAAUAUUGGACAAUGGGCGAAAGCCUGAUCCAGCCAUGCCGCGUGUGUGAAGAAGGCCUUCGGGUUGUAAAGCACUUUCAGUGGGGAAGAAAGCCUUGGGGCUAAUACCCUCGAGGAAGGACAUCACCCACAGAAGAAGCACCGGCUAACUCCGUGCCAGCAGCCGCGGUAAUACGGAGGGUGCGAGCGUUAAUCGGAAUUACUGGGCGUAAAGCGCGCGUAGGCGGUCUGAUAAGCCGGUUGUGAAAGCCCCGGGCUCAACCUGGGAACGGCAUCCGGAACUGUCAGGCUAGAGUGCAGGAGAGGAAGGUAGAAUUCCCGGUGUAGCGGUGAAAUGCGUAGAGAUCGGGAGGAAUACCAGUGGCGAAGGCGGCCUUCUGGACUGACACUGACGCUGAGGUGCGAAAGCGUGGGUAGCAAACAGGAUUAGCUACCCUAGUAGUC